rnacentral:rRNA from 1 species
GCUUGUCUCAAAGAUUAAGCCAUGCAUGUCUAAGUACAAGCCUCAGUAAGGUGAAACCGCGAAUGGCUCAUUAAAACAGUUAUAGUUUAUUUGAUAAUUGAAUUAUACAUGGAUAACCGUGGUAAUUCUAGAGCUAAUACAUGCAGUAAAACCUGACUUUUUGGAAAGGUUGUAUUUAUUAGAUAUCAAACCAAUAUUCCUUCGGGUCUAUUGUGAUGAUUCAUAAUAACUGAUCGAAGCUUAGCUAGGCUAAGCUAAAUCAUUCAAGUUUCUGCCCUAUCAGCUUUCGAUGGUAGUGUAUUGGACUACCAUGGCAGUCACGGGUAACGGGGAAUUAGGGUUCGAUUCCGGAGAGGGAGCCUGAGAAACGGCUACCACAUCUAAGGAAGGCAGCAGG